rnacentral:rRNA from 1 species
GUGCCAGCAGCCGCGGUAAUACGAAGGGACCUAGCGUAGUUCGGAAUUACUGGGCUUAAAGAGUUCGUAGGUGGUUAAAAAAGUUGGUGGUGAAAUCCCAGAGCUUAACUCUGGAACUGCUAUCAAAACUUUUUAGCUAGAGUAUGAUAGAGGAAAGCAGAAUUUCUAGUGUAGAGGUGAAAUUCGUAGAUAUUAGAAAGAACACCAAAUGCGAAGGCAACUUUCUGGACCACUACUGACACUGAGGAGCGAAAGCAUGGGUAGCGAAGAGGAUUAGAUACCCUCGUAGUCCAUGCCGUAAACGAUGUGUGCUAGACGUUGGAAAUUUUAUUUUCAGUGUCGCAGCAAAAGCGUUAAGCACACCGCCUGGGGAGUACGACCGCAAGGUUAAAACUCAAAUGA